rnacentral:rRNA from 1 species
UGGGGGAUAACGGAUCGAAAGGUGUGCUAAUACCCCAUAAUCUCUACCGGAGAAAAGUAGGGGAUCCCAAGACCUUGCGCUUUUUGGAGCGGUCGAUGUCUUAUUAGCUAGUUUGUGAAGGUAAAGGCUUACCAAGGCUUCGAUCAGUAGCUGGUCUUAAGAGGACGCCAVCCACACUKGGACUUAGACACGGCCCAGACUUCUACGGGAGGCAGCAGUGGGGAAUUUUKGACAAUGGGGGAAACCCUGAUCCAGCCAUGCCSCGUGAGUKAAGAAGGCCUUCGGGUUGUAAAGCUCUUUCAGCCSGAACGAAACGGUCACGGUUAAUACCCCUGAUCACUUACGGUACCCGAAGAAGAAGCACCSGCUAACUACGUGCCARCAGCCSCGGUAAUACGUAGGGUGCGAGUKUUAAUCGGAAUUACUUGGCGAAAAGCGUGCGCARGCGGUUUUGUAARUCAGAUGUGAAAUCCCCCGGCUCAACCUGGGAACUGCGUUUUAAACUACAARGCUAGAGUKUAGCAGAGGGGGGUGGAAUUCCACGUGUAGCARUGAGAUGCGUARAGAUGUGGAGGAACACCCAUKGCGAAGGCAGCCCCCUGGGUUAACACUUACGCUCARGCACGAAARCSUGGGGAGCAAACAGGAUUAGAUACCCUGGUAGUCCACGCCCUAAAUSAUGYCAACUAGUUGUGGGGUCUUAAGGGGCUUGGUAACGCAGCUAACVCGUGAARUUUACCCCCUYGGGAGUAGGGUCGCMAGAUYAAAMCCMAAAGCCAUAGAGGGGSACCCGCAMAACGGGUCSAUYAUGYGSAUUAAUUSGAUSCACCGCGAAAAACCUUACCUCCCCUCSACCCSUACCCAAGUCCGCURAGCAGGUGGAUGUGCCCRAAAGGSAAGGGUMACCCAGGUGCYGCAUGGCUGUCGUCAGCUCGUGYCGUGAGAUGUUGGGUUAAGUCCCGCAACGAGCGCAACCCYUGUCAUUAAUUGCCAUCAUUCAGUUGGGCACUUUAAUGAGACUGCCGGUGACAAACCGGAGGAAGGUGGGGAUGACGUAAAGUCCUCAUGGUCCUUAUGGGUAGGGUUCACACGGUAAUACAAUCGCG